UACGGGGGGUGCAAGCGUUAUCCGGAUUCACUGGGUUUAAAGGGUGCGUAGGCGGGUAAGUAAGUCCGUGGUGAAAUCUCUGAGCUUAACUCAGAAACUGCCGUGGAUACUAUUUGCCUUGAAUAUUGUGGAGGUGAGCGGAAUAUGUCAUGUAGCGGUGAAAUGCUUAGAUAUGACAUAGAACACCAAUUGCGAAGGCAGCUCACUACACAAUCAUUGACGCUGAGGCACGAAAGCGUGGGGAUCAAACAGG
rnacentral:rRNA from 1 species